GUACGGGAGGCAGCAGUGGGGAAUUUUGCGCAAUGGGGGAAACCCUGACGCAGCAACGCCGCGUGGAGGAUGAAGGUCUUUGGAUUGUAAACUCCUGUCGGCAGGGAAAAAGCGACUCGACCUAAUACGUCGGGAAGUUGAUUGUACCUGCGGAGGAAGCCCCGGCUAACUCUGUGCCAGCAGCCGCGGUAAUACAGAGGGGGCAAGCGUUAUUCGGAAUUAUUGGGCGUAAAGGGCGCGUAGGCGGCGUGGCAAGUGGAAGGUGAAAUCCCUCGGCUUAACCGAGGAACUGCCCUCCAAACUGCUUCGCUUGAGGCCGGGAGAGGUGAGUGGAAUUCCCAGUGUAGCGGUGAAAUGCGUAGAUAUUGGGAGGAACACCAGUGGCGAAGGCGGCUCACUGGACCGGUUCUGACGCUGAGGCGCGAAAGCGUGGGGAGCAAACGGGAUUAGAUACCCCGGUAGG
rnacentral:rRNA from 1 species